UACGGAGGAUGCAAACGUUGCUCGGAAUCAUUGGGCGUAAAGCGCACGUAGGCGGCCUGAUAAGUCGGGUGUGAAAGCCCUGGGCUCAACCCAGGAAGUGCACUCGAAACUGUCAGGCUUGAAUAUGGAAGAGGGUCGCGGAAUUCCCGGUGUAGAGGUGAAAUUCGUAGAUAUCGGGAGGAACACCAGUGGCGAAGGCGGCGACCUGGGCCAAUAUUGACGCUGAGGUGCGAAAGCGUGGGGAGCAAACAGG
rnacentral:rRNA from 1 species